rnacentral:tRNA from 1 species
GCUCCAGUGGCGCAAUCGGUCAGCGCGUGGUACUUAUAAUGCCGAGGUUGUGAGUUCGAGCCUCACUUGGAGCA